UACAGCCAUAUCAUGUUGAAACACCAGUUGCUCUCCGAUCACCGAAGUUAAGCAACGUCAAGCCUGGUCAGUACCUAGAUGGGUGACCACUUGGGAAUACCAGGUACUGUAA